GCCGGGCGUGGUGGCACGCACCUGUAGUCCCAGCUACUCGGGAGGCUGAGGCAGGAGAAUCACUUGAACUCAGGAGGUGGAGGUUGCAGUGAGCCAAGAGAGCGCCACUGCACUCCAGUUUGGGUGACAGAGCGUGACUCUGUCUNUUUUUGAGACGGAGUCUCGCUCUGUCGCCCAGGCUGGAGUGCAGUGGCAUGAUCUUGGCUCACUGCAAGCUCCACCUCCUGGGUUCACAUCAGUCUCCUGCCUCAG
rnacentral:SRP_RNA from 1 species